rnacentral:rRNA from 1 species
UGCGAUAAGCGCCGGUAAGGUGAUAUGAACCGUUAUAACCGGCGAUACCCGAAUGGGGAAACCCAGUGUGAUUCGUCACACUAUCAUUAACUGAAUCCAUAGGUUAAUGAGGCGAACCGGGGGAACUGAAACAUCUAAGUACCCCGAGGAAAAGAAAUCAACCGAGAUUCCCCCAGUAGCGGCGAGCGAACGGGGAGGAGCCCAGAGCCUGAAUCAGCAUGUGUGUUAGUGGAAGCGUCUGGAAAGGCGCGCGAUACAGGGUGACAGCCCCGUACACAAAAGCGCAUGUGCUGUGAGCUCGAUGAGUAGGGCGGGACACGUGGUAUCCUGUCUGAAUAUGGGGGGACCAUCCUCCAAGGCUAAAUACUCCUGACUGACCGAUAGUGAACCAGUACCGUGAGGGAAAGGCGAAAAGAACCCCGGCGAGGGGAGUGAAAAAGAACCUGAAACCGUGUACGUACAAGCAGUGGGAGCACCCUUCGGGGUGUGACUGCGUACCUUUUGUAUAAUGGGUCAGCGACUUAUAUUCUGUAGCAAGGUUAACCGUAUAGGGGAGCCGGAGGGAAACCGAGUCUUAAUUGGGCGUUAAGUUGCAGGGUAUAGACCCGAAACCCGGUGAUCUAGCCAUGGGCAGGUUGAAGGUUGGGUAACACUAACUGGAGGACCGAACCGACUAAUGUUGAAAAAUUAGCGGAUGACCUGUGGCUGGGGGUGAAAGGCCAAUCAAACCGGGAGAUAGCUGGUUCUCCCCGAAAGCUAUUUAGGUAGCGCCUCGUGAAUUCAUCUCCGGGGGUAGAGCACUGUUUCGGCUAGGGGGCCAUCCCGGCUUACCAACCCGAUGCAAACUGCGAAUACCGGAGAAUGUUAUCACGGGAGACACACGGCGGGUGCUAACGUCCGUCGUGAAGAGGGAAACAACCCAGACCGCCAGCUAAGGUCCCAAAGUCAUGGUUAAGUGGGAAACGAUGUGGGAAGGCCCAGACAGCCAGGAUGUUGGCUUAGAAGCAGCCAUCAUUUAAAGAAAGCGUAAUAGCUCACUGGUCGAGUCGGCCUGCGCGGAAGAUGUAACGGGGCUAAACCAUGCACCGAAGCUGCGGCAGCGAACGUAUCACCCAAGACAACUUUACGGAGUUGACGAUUGACGGAGCGAAGCGACGUCAAAGCGUUCAUUAAAGUCGAGUUGGCUUAGGGAUACGUUCGUUGGGUAGGGGAGCGUUCUGUAAGCCUGUGAAGGUGUGUCGUGAGGCAUGCUGGAGGUAUCAGAAGUGCGAAUGCUGACAUAAGUAACGAUAAAGCGGGUGAAAAGCCCGCUCGCCGGAAGACCAAGGGUUCCUGUCCAACGUUAAUCGGGGCAGGGUGAGUCGACCCCUAAGGCGAGGCCGAAAGGCGUAGUCGAUGGGAAACGGGUUAAUAUUCCCGUACUUGGUGUUACUGCGAAGGGGGGACGGAGAAGGCUAUGUUGGCCGGGCGACGGUUGUCCCGGUUUAAGCGUGUAGGUGUGUGUUCCAGGUAAAUCCGGUUCACUUUAACACUGAGGCGUGACGACGAGGCACUACGGUGCUGAAGCAACAAAUGCCCUGCUUCCAGGAAAAGCCUCUAAGCAUCAGGUAACACGAAAUCGUACCCCAAACCGACACAGGUGGUCAGGUAGAGAAUACCAAGGCGCUUGAGAGAACUCGGGUGAAGGAACUAGGCAAAAUGGUGCCGUAACUUCGGGAGAAGGCACGCUGACACGUAGGUGAAGUGAUUUACUCAUGGAGCUGAAGUCAGUCGAAGAUACCAGCUGGCUGCAACUGUUUAUUAAAAACACAGCACUGUGCAAACACGAAAGUGGACGUAUACGGUGUGACGCCUGCCCGGUGCCGGAA